rnacentral:rRNA from 1 species
AGGGCACACCAGGGGUGGAGCUUGUGGCUUAAUUUGACUCAACACGGGGAAACUCACCAGGUCCAGACACAAUAAGGAUUGACAGAUUGAGAGCUCUUUCUUGAUUUUGUGGGUGGUGGUGCAUGGCCGUUCUUAGUUGGUGGAGUGAUUUGUCUGCUUAAUUGCGAUAACGAACGAGACCUUAACCUACUAAAUAGUGCUGCUAGCUUUUGCUGGUAUAGUCACUUCUUAGAGGGACUAUCGAUUUCAAGUCGAUGGAAGUUUGAGGCA